GAAGGACCUGACAGCACCUUUAACAGGCCCCUGAGGGGCUGUGCUGGGCUAAAAUCGGGCCUUCCCCCAAUUCCUAAGCUCUGUGCCCUGCGAGGGCUGCAUCUGCCCCAAGGGGGCGCCCUUUCCUAAUCUUCACAAAAGAUUUGCAGGGGCCAGCAGCCGAGAUGGGGCACAGGCCCUACCAGAAGAGAGGAUGGCCUGCUACCCAGAAGCCCUUGGGGACUCCCUGGGGUUAAAGCACCUUCCCUGGUGCAGAUGUUUGUCAGCUCUCAGAGGCAGGCGGAGCCGGGAUCCCAUCCCCAGUGGCAGAUGAGAGGCCUGGAUGACCUGCGCAAGAGAUCCGUGCGUGGAGGUGCGGCCAGCAAGUCCCGGGCUAUGCUCCACGGUCGCUCCGGGGUCUGCACAUCACCUGCCCGGGUGGCAACCGGUUGAAGGCUUCCAAAUGUCCGACACCCCUCUCGAUCCUCCAAUCCCAGCUCCCCACCUGCCCAUCACCCCAUCACU
rnacentral:lncRNA from 1 species